rnacentral:rRNA from 1 species
CAGCGAUGCCGCGUGAGUGAAGAAGGCCUUUGGGUUGUAAAGCUCUUUCGUCGGGGAAGAAAAUGACUGUACCCGAAUAAGAAGGUCCGGCUAACUUCGUGCCAGCAGCCGCGGUAAUACGAAGGGACCUAGCGUAGUUCGGAAUUACUGGGCUUAAAGAGCUCGUAGGUGGUUAAAAAAGUUGGUGGUGAAAUCCCAGAGCUUAACCCUGGAACUGCCAUCAAAACUUUUUAGCUAGAGUAUGAUAGAGGAAAGCGGAAUUUCUAGUGUAGAGGUGAAAUUCGUAUAUAUUAGAAAGAAUACCAAUUGCGAAGGCAGCUUUCUGGAUCAUUACUGACACUGAGGAACGAAAGCAUGGGUAGCGAAGAGGAUUAAAUACCCUCGUAGUCCAUGCCGUAAAC